AGUCACUCCAGGGAUGUGAAACAGCCUGGUAAGUUCCAGGACCAGCAAGGAAACGAAUAGAGCCGAAGAGGCAUGGAGUAAGAAGCAGAGGAGAAGGAGAGGAGGACGGAGCGGUUUCACAGUCAUUGAAGAGGGAAGACAGAGCAAAAAGUAAGUGAUACAAGAA
rnacentral:lncRNA from 1 species